AAACAAUUGAUUUUAAACGAUUAAUUAAGUAAAUAUUAUAAAUAAUGCCUUAUGAAAUAAUAUAUAAGCAAACGUUUAUUAUCUAGUUUUUGGACACGUAGAAUAACUUUACAAUCUAUUUAUAUAGUUUUAGGUAUUAUUUGACACUUAAUUUGGGAUUAAAACCUAUCUUUUCACAAUAUUUUACUAUCUUAAUACUUCCUUUACAACACUGAUUAUAAAUUGGUCUAAAUUCAUUCGCCAUAAUUGCUAAACUACACCUAUAGCAUUCGGCAUCCGAUAUUCUAUUUAAGCAUACCGUUUUCGGUAAAUUUCUUUCAAUAUCGUACCAUCUUUUUCUAGAUGCUUCCGGAAAAUCUAUAUUACCGAGUUUCGCGUACGAAUGGAGGCCUUUCAACGUAUACAAGGGAGAAGAUUAUAUCGUUAUUAAUGAAAGAAGAAUGGAAUAUUACAGCAAAAUAUGAAGAAAAUUCGAACGCUAUAUGAGACUGCAAGUGACGCGAAAUUUUUUAAUGCAUUAGCCGCGGCAAGUCGCUGGCAGCAAUGAACCGCAGUCUAGUGAACACAUGUCGGAAUUCUCGUUCGGAUCCGCCGUUAAUCCUUUGCGGUAUUGCGGGGCGUUCGAAUGAUUGGUUUGCGGUACUGCCUACUGCAAUCCUUCUGCGCGGCUAUUAUUUUUGACGCAGAAUGGUGCGAAAGGGGAAGUGGGCCUCUUAAAUAUAACGAUGUCCCAUUCUAUAUCUCGAGAACUCGAGAUGGUGGAUUAUGGCUUCGUACUGGAAGUGAAGGUCAUGGUGACUACUCCUUACAUAAUCUAACUCAUGGAAAACGACUACUUCAAAUGAUUAGCAAUGACCAGACAAAUGCGAUUCUUACGACGAAUUUUUCGGAUUCUUGUGUUAUCAGUGAUAUCCAAUUUUCACUUAUUUUUACUGUUUCCAAGAUAAAGAGCUACAUUAAAGUGAUAGAUGUCAUAAGUAAGACGGAUGAUUCUAUAUUUUUUCGACCCUAUCGAAAUUGCUUACCUAGUAAAGUUACAGUUGUAAAAUUAUCUGACGAUAAGCAGAAUAUCUAUUGUACUGGUCGAGUUCGUAAAAAUAGCUGCAAUUCUGCUGGUCUACCUCACUUCAAUCAAUCCAGAAGAAGUUUUGUAAAAACGAUUGGUAUCGAUAUUAGCAACGAUCACGAUAAAUGUAAUCCUGCUCCAAUACCAAGUUCGAUAACUUUCCUAGGAGACUAUUACCACGCCUAUAUAAGAAUAGGUGAAUGUAAGAAGCCCAAAGAUCUUCCACAAUUGGGAUAUGAAGCCCGUUUAAGGGCGCAUGCCGACGAGGAAUCGCAAAAGACUAUUUUACUAACUGAUCCCUCGCAGGAAUCAUUAGCGGAAUCUUCUCAACUAGAUUCGUGGAAGAUUUACGUGAAGACAACAUCCAGUCAACAGUCCCUCCAUCUUCAAAUAUGGCGGCCCCAAAAGGCCGGAAUAUAUAAAUUAGUUUCCGAUACUUUUGUGCCUUUCGACCGUCUGGACUUGAGAUUACAAACCAUUGACGUCAGACAAAAUGAUACUAUAGUGAAAGGCGAUAUACUAGGAUUAUUCUUCUCAGGUGGAAAUCCCAUUGGAUGGGAUUCCGUACCAUGCGCAACGGAAGAACAAAAGUACAAAUAUUUAAGGAUCAAGGAUAAGAAGCAGCUAAGACUUGGGAGAUCAUUUAAAUUUCAUACAGCUAGAGGUCGCCACGCUUGCCGACACUAUUCCUAUGUUGCAGUUUUUGCAAAUAAGAAAUCACUACCCAUAAUUGAAGAUUGGAAAUGUCCUGGAAAGAAGCUGAACUUAGAAGGGAAAGAUCUAUGGAGAACGUCUACAUCAAAAGAUACUCAAAAGAAAACAGUUUUACACGUUCAUACAGACGUUAGACUUUCCUACAGUUCCACUAUACCAAUCUACGUAAUCUUAGUGAUAAUCGGAUGCUUAAUAUCCUUGUUAAUUAUUGUCGGUGUAAUAUCCUAUUACAGAGCAUUAAAAACGUAAAUUAAUUCCAAUUGUAUUUUCAAGAAACAAAUAACAAAAAAAAAGAGAAACAACAUGUUCAAUAAUACAUGCAGAUUGUAAUUUUAUUAUCUCGUUAUUUUUCUUCUUAUUACAGUCACGUUUGAAUUAACAGUAAGACAAGUUCCUAGUUCCUUAAUUUAAUAACCUUAAAAAUACGAUACAACGAAGUCAAUAGGGGGCGCUUCAUUUUACCUUAUUCUCUUUCCUCCCUGCCCAACACGAAUUCUUUAAACUAGCUUAUCCCUCAUUUAAAAGCAAUUCUUAUUCCAAUUCAUUAGAAAAAGUGACUUUCCUUAUCUGACUAUUCCUUUUGCUAGGUAACAAAUUCUCGAGUAGACUGAUAUUCUUCAUCUUUUAGCCCAAUGUAAUAAUCUAUCGUAUAGUAUCAGCGUUUAUUGACUUUUAGUUUAGUGAAUUUGACCUUCAA
rnacentral:misc_RNA from 1 species